AAUGAACGUUGGCGGCAUGGAUUAGGCAUGCAAGUCGGGGGAAUCCCAGCAAUGGGGGAACCGGCGUAAGGGGCAGUAAGGCAUGGGUACCUACCUUGGGGUUCGGGAUAGCCAUCAGAGAUGGUGGGUAAUACCGGAUGACGUCGUGAGACCACAGAUUUAUCGCCCUUAGAGGGGCCCAUGUGAUAUUAGCUAGUUGGUGGGGUAACGGCCCACCAAGGGGAAGAUGUCUAGCGGGUGUGAGAGCACGACCCGCGCCACUCGCACUGAGACACUGGCGAGACACCGACGGGUGGCUGCAGUCGAGGAUCUUCGGCAAUGAGCGCAAGCUUGACCGAGCGAUGCCGCGUGAGCGAUGAAGGCCUUCGGGUUGUAAAGCUCUUUAGUGGGGGAGAAAAGCCGCAAGGUGUGAUCUAUCCCAAAAAUAAGCACGGGCUAAGUUCGUGCCAGCCGCCGCCGUAA
rnacentral:rRNA from 1 species